rnacentral:lncRNA from 1 species
CUUUGUGUUUUGAGUGUGUACUGUGAUCUGAAAUCAGCUGAGUUUCAUGUGUGUUUGAUGUGCAGGUUUUGGAAGGCUUAAGGGGACAAAUCCAGGGAAAUACUGAUAUUGUAUUUGCACGAAAGAGUGAGGUAGCUAUAAAUUGUCCCUCUUGGCACUCCUGGAUACCAAAACUGGACAAUGAUGUUGAUACUCUCAGUAUGAUUUUAAAGAAAACAAGCACAGUAAACUAGCUUCUUGUAUUCUUGUUUCAGGAGAAGAUGUUGUUUGAGCUCUAGGAGAUGCUGUAGGAGUUGCAUCAUAAAUAAGAACAUCACUGAGUUCAAAAGCAUCAUGUCCCUCUUCCCUGGCUUCUGUUAAUUGUCUCUAAAUCUGUACUGCAUGGAGAAGUUGUGGAGUUGUAAAGAGUUUAGACUGAGCACCCCUCAGAGGUCUUUGAGAUUCAAACCAGCAUUGGAAGUGACAGCCCAGAUAACACAGAUCCUGGGUGAGGACAUCUGUGUCUUAGUAGCCCCCAAGAAGAGUGCCUGAGACUGGAAUGUGGGUAUUGUUUUCUGUGAACUUGAGAUUGGAGUACCCCAAAAGGGAUGUGGAACUAAAGCUGGCCUCGGGGCUGAGUAAUGGAAGAUGCAGAG